GGAGAAUGCACUGUAGAUUUUCUGAAAGAAGUCGUCCUUUGUUCUUUGGAAUCAGUGCUGAAAGUGUCAUCUUUCACAGCCUUCACAGAUCGGGAUUCAAAUGCAUUUCUUUCCUCAGAUUUCUCUGAAACUCUGUUAAUGUUGAUUGGUAAAUUCGUAUCAUUUUUCAUGUGAAUUUCAGUGUCACGGACUUUGGUAAUGAUCGGAGUGAGAUCGAGUUCAGAUUUUGCAUGGAAUGGCUUUUCAUCAAAAUCAAUUAUGAUAUCUUUUUGGAUUUUGCUUUUGCAGGAAGUUGACCGUGAAACCAUGGGAUCAAAUGCAUCUGGAGUGAGACUCCGAUCAGAUGAGAUAUCAAUACUUGAAUUCCGAUACACUUCCGACGUAUAAUUGGGUUUGUUCCGGUCGGAUUCAAGAAUGACCCGGCAGCCGUAACCGGC
rnacentral:lncRNA from 1 species